AGUGCUAUUCAUGUGCAAGAGUUAAUACAGCCGUGCUAUUGCACAUUGGAAUGGUA
rnacentral:pre_miRNA from 1 species